rnacentral:rRNA from 1 species
UACAGAGGUCUCAAGCGUUGUUCGGAUUCAUUGGGCGUAAAGGGUGCGUAGGCGGCGCGGUAAGUCGGGUGUGAAAUCUCGGGGCUUAACUCCGAAACUGCAUUCGAUACUGCCGUACUUGAGGACUGGAGAGGAGACUGGAAUUACGGUGUAGCGGUGAAAUGCGUAGAUAUCGUAAGGAAGACCAGUGGCGAAGGCGGGUCUCUGGACAGUUCCUGGACGCUGAGGCACGAAGGUCAGGGGGAGCAAACGGG